rnacentral:lncRNA from 1 species
UGGCCCAUCUUAAUAUUUUGGAUUGGAGGCUCGGAUUCUUUCACAUAACGUCUGCGUUAAAAUUUAGGUGAGACCGCUUUUACAACGACUAAUCGCUUUCUCUCUUCAUGUUCUAUGUUUUGACGGAAACAACCUCUCUAUCCAUGCACUUCCAGAAUUCCACCGGGAUCUCGUCAGACCCGGUCGCUCGACCCCUACUCAUCCUACGCAACGCCCCUAAGACCUCCUCUACCCUAAAUAGUUAAUAUGUUUUCCUUGUAAGCUUAAAAAAGGCUGUUUAAUGCAUGAAAUAUUCAUAUUUAUUGUAGGGUCCGAGGAAACUGUAUCUUAUAUGUAAUAUAGGCCGUCUAUUUCUAACGCACGUGUUAAUGGCUCAACUAUAAUAUUAUAUUUGAAUUCUAAAUUUUAAAAGUAUAAUAAAUUGCGUACAGAAAACGUUAAAAAUUAAAUUCACUAAUUUAGAUCUUAAAUUUGUCUCUUCUCAUACAUGUAUAGUUGUGAACGUCUUGUGAAGUUUAUAGGCCAUGUCUUUUUCUCAGUUUCCUGCUCGCAUUUGAAUCUCAAUUAAUUCAGAUUCGUAAGACCCAUUACAUGGAAAAGCGCUCUCUAUAAUUAUGUUUUUUAUAUUCAGAAUUUGAACCCGAGACCUCUAAUAAACUAUAAAGGGUAAAGAAAUAAUAUUCAUCCCACCACAACCAUCACUGUCGCUAAACUUACCUACCACUAGUUCCUUAAGGGUUUUUUUCUUUUUCUUUUUUUUUUCUAUCCAUUUAGUAUUUGUUUUCCGUUUUGUUUACGUUUUAUGAUCUAGAGUUUUCUGCUUUUCCUCUCUUAUAGAGUAUUGUCAAUAAUUUUCUAAAUUAUUGGAACAUCAAUCAUACUAAAGCUACAAAUUUUAAUAUCUGGCCCACCUUGAUUCAAAUAAUUGAAGAUUUUAUAUUGAAAUUAGCCAAAGUGGACACACGAUUUUGCAAUCACAAAUAUAAAUUUAAAAAAAAAAACCUAACUUUCCCGUCCCACAUGAAACCAUUUUUGGCCUUAUUGAUGGACAAGUCAUGGACAAAUUAUAGGAGAUGACGUGCACAAUUUUUUAAUUUUAGUAACUCAUUUUGAAUAUAUUUACAUCUUAGAACCGAUAAUAUUUGCCAUGUUAGUAUUAAUUUUUUUAAAGGCAAAUGUUAGGUAACUAAUGGAUUAAAAACUUACCAUAGAGUUAUAGAUUAUGUAUUUUUGAUAACUGAACAUGAUGGAAAAAAUAAAUAAUAAAUCAGUAAAUAAGGAUGAUACCAUAUUUUCUACUGAUCAUUCUUUAUUUCACGUUAAUUUUUUUUUUUUAACAUGUUGCUUCAGAGCCCCUAUGUCCGUUUCUAUCGUAGACGGACUUAGAAUUUAAAAGUGGCGGGGGCAUCACUAACGAAUAAAAACUUAAGCAAAUGUUGGAGUGAGAAUCGACCCCAGACAGCGCACUACAAGUCAAGUUAUGCCCUCCACCUCCUCUAAAUCGAUUAAUGUAGCUGUCUAAGCUUUGAGUUUUAGAGGGCCAAUCAAGAUAUAUACUAUGUUAUCGAAGAUAUAUAUAUAUAUAUAUUCGAAAAUAUCAAAGACGGUGACCCCCUACCCUAAGUGUAAUCCGUCUCUGGUUUCUACUAUUUACAUAGUUUUCUUGAAUAGAAAACACAAACUGUGUCAUUCUUUCUUUUAUUGCAUACUAAUAAGAAAAUAGCGUCAUAACAAAAGAAAUACACAAGUGGUCAUUCAAAAAUAGUCACAGUUUCAAAAGUAAUCAAUAUUUAGCCACUUUUUAUAUAAAGAUAAAUCUGAACAAAAAUACUGUUCAAAAUCCGAAAAAUACUCCAGCAUAAUACAUUGGAGUUCCAGUAUAUUAUACUAGAGCCAGCAAAGUAUACCGGUCCAACAUAAUAUGCUGGAAGUUCAUACACCGGUGCACUAAAUUUCAGUAUAUUACGUUGGACUGGUCUAUGUUGCAGCAAAAUAGUGGUGAUUUUUCAUUAACUUAAUAAACGUUGGCUAUUUUUGAAUGACCAAUUCGCAAACUGGCUAAACUGUGCUAUUUUAAUGAUUUAAAUAGUCAUGGCCCAUCUUAAUAUUUUGGAUUGGAGGCUCGGAUUCUUUCACAUAACGUCUGCGUUAAAAUUUAGGUGAGACCGCUUUUACAACGACUAAUCGCUUUCUCUCUUCAUGUUCUAUGUUUUGACGGAAACAACCUCUCUGCCAUAUCGGGUUAGGGAUAAGGUCUGCAUACACAUUACCCUCCCCAGGCCUCCACUUUGUGAGAUUUUACUGGGUAGUUGUUCUAUAUUUUGACAUCCCAAUCCUCCUACUCUACAAGUGUAGGAAUCUACAAAUUUUCAUUCAGACACCUCAAUUUGAUCAAAAUAGUUACUUUAAACGUCUCUAACCGUCGACCAAGCUUACGCGGCAUUAAUUACUCAAUUGGACAAAAAGCAUGAUUUACAUGCACUUAAGGCGUAGGGGAUCGGUAUGUCAAAACGAUGUAGCUAUUAAGCUAUCCGAUCUUUCCUUUUUCUCUUCAUCAUUAAGCUUAGUCAUAAUUUUUUCCACAUUAAGACUGAUCUUUUAUGUUAUUGUUUUAUGCUUCUAAAAUAAAUUA